UGCGGGCGCCCGGCCGCUGGCUGCGCUAGGACCCCCGGCCGCCGCUCGCCGAGGGCCGGUGCGGAGAGAGGAGCGAGAGGGCCCGGGAGCCUGGCGCCCGGCCGGGCGCAGCGCGGCAUGUAGCUGCGGGCGCCCGCGUGAGGCUGCCGGCCCGGGGCCCCUGCCAUGGCUGCGAAGGACAGCGGGAACCUGAAGACGGUGAGGCUGUGGCGGGACGCCGCCCUGCGCGCCAGGAAGCUGCGGAGCAACCUGCGCCAGCUCACCCUCAGCGCGGCCGGGGGCUGCCCGGGGGCGGGCGCCGAGCAGCUCGACUCCCCCGACGCCCCCCAGCUCGUGCUGCCGGCCAACAUCGGGGACAUUGAGGUGCUGAACCUGGGCAACAACGGCCUGGAGGAGGUGCCCGACGGGCUGGGCUCGGCGCUGGGCAGCCUGCGCGUCCUGGUGCUGCGCAGAAACCGCUUCGCCCGGCUGCCCCCGGCCGUGGCCGAGCUGGGCCACCACCUCACCGAGCUGGACGUGAGCCACAACCGGCUGACCGCCCUGGGCGCGGAGGUGGUGAGCGCCCUGCGGGAGCUGCGCAAGCUCAACCUCAGCCACAACCAGCUGCCCGCCCUGCCCGCCCAGCUGGGGACCCUGGCCCACCUGGAGGAGCUGGAUGUCAGCUUCAACCGGCUGGCACACCUGCCCGACUCCCUCUCCUGCCUCUUGCGCCUGCGCACCCUCGACGUGGACCACAACCAGCUCACGGCUUUCCCCCGGCAGCUGCUGCAGCUGGCGGCCCUGGAGGAGCUGGAUGUGUCCAGCAACCGGCUGCGGGGCCUACCUGAGGAUAUCAGUGCCCUGCGCGCCCUCAAGAUCCUCUGGCUGAGUGGGGCCGAGCUUGGCACCCUGCCCAGCGGCUUCUGCGAGCUGGCCGGCCUCGAGAGCCUCAUGCUCGACAACAACGGGCUGCACGCUCUGCCCGCCCAGUUCAGCCGCCUGCAGCGGCUCAAAAUGCUCAACCUCUCCUCCAACCUCUUCGAGGAGUUCCCUGCCGCGCUGCUGCCCCUGGCUGGGCUGGAGGAGCUCUACCUGAGCCGCAACCAGCUCACCUGCGUGCCGUCGCUCAUCUCGGGCCUGGGCCGGCUUCUCACCCUCUGGCUGGAUCAUAACCGGAUCCGCUACCUGCCCGACUCCAUUGUGGAACUGACGGGUCUGGAGGAGCUCGUGCUGCAAGGGAACCAGAUCGCCGUGCUGCCCGACAACUUCGGCCAGCUCUCCAGGGUGGGCCUGUGGAAGAUCAAGGACAACCCGCUGAUCCAGCCCCCCUACGAGGUCUGCAUGAAGGGGAUCCCCUACAUUGCAGCCUACCAGAAGGAGCUAGCGCACUCCCAGCCCGCUGUGCAGCCCCGCCUCAAGCUGCUCCUGAUGGGCCACAAGGCCGCGGGGAAGACCUUGCUCCGUCACUGUCUCACUGAGGACAGAGUGGAGGGAAACCAGGGAGGAGGGGACAAGGAAAAGAGCUGCCCUGCUGCAGCUCCUUCUGUGAGCAAAGGCAUUGAGGUGACCAGCUGGACGGCGGACGCUUCCCGGGGGCUGCGGUUCAUUGUGUAUGACUUAGCGGGCGAUGAAAGCUACGAGGUGAUCCAGCCCUUCUUCCUCUCCCCGGGAGCCCUCUACGUGCUGGUGGUGAACCUGGCCACCUAUGAGCCCCGCCGCUUUCCCGCCACAGUGGGUUCCUUCUUGCAUCGGGUCGGGGCCCGGGUUCCCCAUGCCGUGGUGUGCAUCGUGGGCACGCACGCAGACUUGUGUGGGGAGCGGGAGCUGGAGGAGAAGUGCCUGGACAUUCACCGCCAGAUCGCCCUGCAGGAGAAGCACGACGCGGAAGGACUGAGCCGGUUGGCCCAGGUGGUGGACGAGGCCCUGACCCGGGACUUUGAGCUGCGCUCCGCCAGCCCCCACGCUGCCUACUAUGGGGUUUCAGACAAGAACCUCCGGCGGCGCAAGGCCCAUUUUCAGUACCUGCUCAACCACCGGCUGCAAAUCCUGUCUCCGGUGUUGCCCGUCAGCUGCAGAGACCCUCGCCAGUUACAGCGCCUUCGGGACAAGCUGCUCUCCGUAGCUGAGCACCGGGAGAUCUUCCCCAAUUUACAUAGAGUACUGCCUCGAUCCUGGCAGGUGCUGGAGGAGCUGCAUUUCCAGCCGCCCCAGGCACAGCGGCUGUGGCUCAGCUGGUGGGACUCGGCCCGCCUGGGCCUGCAGGCGGGUCUGACCGAGGACCGGCUACAGAGUGCUCUUUCGUACCUGCACGAGAGCGGCAAGCUGCUCUAUUUCGAGGACAGCCCAGCCCUCAAGGAGCACGUCUUCCACAACCUCACCCGCCUCAUCGACAUCCUCAAUGUCUUUUUCCAGAGGGAUCCUUCCCUGCUGCUGCACAAGCUGCUCCUGGGCACCAGCGGCGAGGGCGAGGGUGAGGGCGACAGCUCCCCGCUGAUGGCGACGCCCACCCCAGGCCAGGAACUUUUGCGGGCCACCCAGCUCCAUCAUUACGUGGAGGGCUUUCUGCUUCACGGGCUCUUGCCAGCCCAUGUCAUCCGGUUGCUGCUGAAGCCUCACGUCCAGGCCCAGCAGGACUUGCAGCUGCUGUUGGAGCUGCUGGAGAAGAUGGGACUCUGUUACUGCCUCAAUAAGCCCAAAGGCAAGCCUCUGAAUGGGUCCACGGCUUGGUACAAGUUCCCGUGCUAUGUGCAGAACGAGGUACCCCAUGCAGAGGCCUGGAUUAACGGGACCAACCUGGCCGGGCAGUCUUUCGUGGCCGAGCAGUUGCAGAUUGAAUACAGUUUCCCCUUCACCUUUCCACCCGGCCUGUUCGCGCGCUAUAGCGUCCAGAUCAACAGCCACGUGGUGCACAGAUCCGACGGGAAACUUCAGAUCUUUGCGUAUCGGGGGAAGGUUCCGGUGGUGGUCAGUUACAGACCGGCCAAGGGGCUCCUGCAGCCAGACACUCUGUCCAUUGCCAGCCACGCGUCGUUACCAAACAUAUGGACGGCAUGGCAAGCCAUAACCCCCUUGGUAGAGGAACUGAAUGUCCUGCUUCAGGAAUGGCCUGGACUGCACUAUACCGUGCACAUUCUCUGUUCUAAGUGCCUUAAGAGAGGGUCGCCCAAUCCACACGCUUUCCCAGGGGAGCUGCUGAGUCAGCCCAGACCGGAAGGAGUGGCAGAGAUCAUUUGCCCUAAGAACGGCAGCGAGCGAGUGAAUGUUGCCUUGGUUUACCCACCUACACCGACUGUGAUCAGCCCCUGUUCUAAGUAUCUCCAUACUUUCUUGGAAAAUUAAGUGGAAAAGAUAGUGCUUCUCUCCCCUUUGUCAUCAUUUUUACUGUAUCCAAUCUGUGACUUUAAGAGCGCCAGUUUUUAAGGGAAGAACGUUGGUGAAAAGCACAGAAACCAGUGACUUCUAUGGCUGUGGAAUUUCCGUGAAGAAAAGACAGCAUCCGAACUCACCUGGACCAUCUUUCACACCUGGCAGACCCUCCACGCUGCCGCGCGCGCGUCCCAUGAACUCCAGCCAGUCGACGCGUGGGGUGCUUGCAGAGGAGGGCACAGACCUGGCCUGUAGAGGGAGCGGGGAGGGCAGGGGGGAGGCUAGGGGAGAACAUGGAGCAAAUGUUUUACAACCUGAACCUCAGAACUGUGAUCCUCCGAGGAGAGCGCUACUUGAAGAAAAGAAAAAAAAAAAAGUCGAAUGGCUUCUCAGGGAUUUUGUUUUCUGUCCACAUAAAAGCCAUAGUUCGUUUAGGUGGCCGUAUUUUGAGCACUCAGAUUUCAGUUCUGUUAAAUGUGAAAGAGGGAUCGACUGACCGUUCAUUGCUGUUCCGUGACUAGUGUAAAAUAUGUAUAUGUUUAUCUUUAUUUUUAUAAUAUGCAAAUACAUUUAAAUUUAUACAGUUUGAUGCUUCUAGCGUUAGUUCACACUGGGUGCGAUAUUCUGCAUGAGAACUGUGCCAAGAUGGGGCUGGUUUCUUAUUUUAGCAUAAGACCUUUUUGUUCAUUCUUUAUUCUUUAAUCCUUCUGAGAUUACAAAAAAAAAAUAUCUCUCUGUCCACGGAUUAAGUGUGGGGUCCUAGAGGUGACCAGUAAUCAGCAAGAACCUUAAAUGUGGUUCUUGGCACAUUUAAAUGUGGUUCUUGGCAGGCAGUGUCUCCUCUCCUUGUUUUAAAUCAGGGUCCCCUGCCUGUAAGCCGGUUUGUUGGGGGGCCUGGUGGGAUUCCGGGGUCGCUCUGCCCGCCUGUCUGCCAGCGCCGGGCCAAGUGGUCAUUGCUCCGAGCUGGGUUUCCUCUCGACAGUGAGUUGUUACAGGCUGGUGUGCUGAUGGAGGCCCCGUGCUGGCGUUCUUCAGGGGACAGGGACAGUCCAUGGGAAACCUUAAUCUUUCAAUAGCGCAAGGUAAUCGGGAGUGAGUUGUGAAUUGUGCAGAGAGCUUUGCUAACGAGUCCUUUUCUCUGUCUCUCUGCAACAGUCUGUGAAACUUAGCAUAGCACCCUGAUAGCCCUCCACGUCUGGCUGUCAGACCUUAAGACAGUGAGUUGCCUCCAACAGGAUGGUCACCUGCCAGGAACUAGUAAAACCUUUGUUGUUCAGUCUCCACAGAGUAGAACAUGAAGAGCAGAGCAAAUUGCUCUCUCAUCCAUUCCAAAUCGGGGCCAAACGUAUCAGCCACAGUAGUAACACGUUCUUUGACGAAGGGAGAGGACUCUGUUUGCAGCUGUCUCCUCUGCAUGUGGAUGGAAAAAGGUGUAAAACAAACUGUUAAUCUGCAGUGUAAGGCAUGAAAAGUGAGUCAGCUGAUGUUUUUCUUUUCCUUCUUCUAUAAAGUAUUGACUCUUGCAAUGCCAGUAUACGAGGUCUCGACGUAUUUUUAAAAAGAAUAACCAGCUAGCAAGUGGCUGCCCUGGGAAAGUUCCCUAGCUGACGUCCGUAGAUUGGGUGCCCCAGGAGUCGACUUGACUAAUGCCAGAACCUCGGUUAAACGAGUGUGAUUUCUCACGGUCAUAAAAUCAAAUGGGAUCUCAGACUAUUUCUGCAUUUUUGGAUACUUGAAUAUGCCACCUCGAUUUUGAGAUCUCAUGUCCUGUUAGAACACAGUCACAAGUUCACCUGCUUAAUCCCUUGGUCACAGUUCUUGUGUGUGCGUGUGCGUGCGUGCGCCUCUGUGUGCGCGUGGGUGUACGCGCGCGUGUGUGCGUGUAAGCCAAAUGGUAACAUUUAAUUGCUUUAGGGACCAUCGAGUUGUUGGGCAUAGGAGUUUUGUAAUUGGCACGAGAGGGUUCCGAAACUGUCAAAUUAACUGACUUUGACCAGUUUUUUGCAAGGGCUCUGAAGGAUGUGACUUUGGGCUAACUCCCCAGGGGACCAUUUUAAAUGGGGAAAAAAAAAAAAUGUUCCUUUGGGUGACAUACCCUGCAAAAUGUGUAUUAUUCUUAUGAACUUAAAUGCCCACCUUCUUAAUAACUGCUAUUUUUGGACAAGUGAUGUUUUGUGCUGUCAUCUGAACCCUAGAGAAGCGGUAUAAGGAGAAAUCUCGGUGUCACACGUGACCAGAAGCAACUCCAGAAAAGCCGGAGACCUUGCUUCGGGGUCGGGGGAGGGUUGGAGAUGACGGAAAACGCUCUGCUCUGCUGGAACGGUCAGGCUCGAUGCAGGUGGUUGCGUACCUGGGAUGACACAGCCAGCCAAGGCCAAGCACAAGGGGAGACUUUGCAGAUCGAGUUGUCCCUUGCCUCGCAAACAACCUACACAUUAGUUACAGUUUCUAUUCCUGCAACCCGUGGUAUCAAAACCACUUCCUAGAAUUGUAACAGUCCUGCCAGGAUAAAUGUUUUUCCCCCAUUCCAAAAGAAAGAAAAAAAUGACAGUGCUCAUGUUUGACAUUUGUGCAUUUGGGCUCUUUUGAAUGAAUAAAAAGGAAAGGGUUUGGUAUAAUUCCCGAUGGGGUGUGUGUGUGUGUGUGUGUUCUUUUUCAUACCACAGUUUGUAAAUUGUAAUUGUGGUUUCUCCUUGAAUUGUCUUGACUGGGCAGAAAUUUAAAAAAAAAAAAAAAAAAGUAAAAAAAUUCAAUAAAAAUACAAAGAAAUGGUGAAACAA